rnacentral:rRNA from 1 species
UACGGAGGGUGCAAGCGUUAUCCGGAUUUACUGGGUUUAAAGGGUGCGUAGGUGGGUCUGUAAGUCAGUGGUGAAAUCUCCGAGCUUAACUCGGAAACUGCCAUUGAUACUAUAGAUCUUGAAUAUCCUGGAGGUGAGCGGAAUAUGUCAUGUAGCGGUGAAAUGCUUAGAUAUGACAUAGAACACCAAUAGCGAAGGCAGCUCGCUGGGACGGUACUGACGCUAAGGCGCGAAAGCGUGGGGAGCGAACAGG